rnacentral:rRNA from 1 species
AACGAACGCUGGCGGCAUGCCUAACACAUGCAAGUCGAACGAGACCUUCGGGUCUAGUGGCGCACGGGUUCGUAACGCGUGGGAACCUUCCCUUAGGUUCGGCAUACCUCCCCGAAUGGGGUGCUUAUACCGGAUAAUGUCUUCGGACCAAAGAUUUAUCGCCUUUGGAUGGGCCCGCGUUGGAUUAGCUAGUUGGUAGGGUAAAAGCCUACCAAGGCGACGAUCCAUAGCUGGUCUGAGAGGAUGAUCAGCCACACUGGGACUGAGACACGGCCCAGACUCCUACGGGAGGCAGCAGUGGGGAAUAGUGGACAAUGGGCGAAAGCCUGAACCAGCAAUGACGGGUGAGUGAUGAAGGCCGUAGGGUUGUAAAGCUCUUUUACCCGGGAUGAUAAUGACAGUACCGGGAGAAUAAGCUCCGGCUAACUCCGUG